AUAUAUAGGUUCAACAAUGAGCAUUAGAAUAUUUUUCCCACAAAUGAUCAACUAAUGCAUUUCGUAAUGAAAAAUGAGCUUCUUUAUUUUUGAUAAAUGAGCUUUUUUAUUUUUGAUAUUCCUAAAUCGAGCAAGAAAAUUUUGAAAUCGGACAUUUUCAUCUUCUGCAAUUUCGAUAUCUGGAGGUGGAGCUUCUCUUCCAAGUUCAAUUGGUGCAUCAAGUUCACGCUCAUCUUCAAUUAUCAUGUUAUGUAAAAUUAUACAUGUAGUCAUAAUGUCAUGUAACACAUUUUUUUUUCCAAAAACGAACAGGUCCUUUGACAAUAGCAAAGCGCGACUGUAGAACUCCAAAUGCACGUUCAACAUCUUUCAUGCAUGCUUCUUGUUGCGUUGCAAAAUAUUUGUUUUUAGGACUCCUUGGCUCUUGAAUAGUUUGUACUAUGGUCGACCAUUUUGGAUAAAUACCAUCCGCUAAAUAGUAACCCAUAUAAUAUUCUUUGUCUUGAAUAAAAUAAUGAGCAGGAGGAGCAAUACCUUGAGCAAGAUUGGAAAAAAGAUAAGAAGAAUCCAACACGUUGAUAUCGUUAUUAGUGCCUGGCAUUCCGAAAUAUGCAUGCCAUAUCCAAAGAUCAUAAUCUGCGACAGCUUCAAGAAUUAUAGUUGGUGAUCCACUACGACCCGCAUAUUGUCCCGCCCAACCGGUAGGACAAUUCUUCCACUUCCAGUGCAUGCAAUCUAAACUGCCAAGCAUUCCAGGAAAUCCUCGUUUUUCACCAAUAUAAAGAAGUCUGACAAAUACAAAUAAUAUCAAAGCGAAAUGCUGAAUCACAAGAUCAACAAGCUCUUUCUCAGACUUCUCCGUUUGGGCAAUAUUUCACCACCUUAGCGGAUCCGGAACGGAUUUUCCAGAUUAUUAAAUUACUUAUUUUAUGUUAUUUUUAUUUUUAUUUUAAUUAUUUAUGUUUUCUGUUAUUUUAUGCAUUUAUUUAAAAUUAUUAAAUAAUCUUUUGUGGAAUAUACUAUUUUCAUGUUAUUGUAUCAUUUUAAAUAUUAUUUAAGUAAAAAAUAGAAACAUUAAAGAUUUAAAGGACCAUUUUAUAAAUAAAAAAAGUCCAACUCCAAAAUGGAGUAAUGAGUAAGAUUACUCCAUAAAUGGAGUAACCCUAGCCAUUACUCUAUUUUCAACUCCAAAAUGAAGUGGGGUUGGAGAAGAUUUUACUCCAUAAUGAUGUUUGGAGUUGAAAAUGGAGUAGGGUUGGAGAUGCCCUAAUGGGUCCUCUUUCUUUAUGAAUAAUAUAUUACCGUUCCUAGAUGAUGUAAACGUCCCAAACGCCACCACUACUUCAGAAUUGCACACUGGUCAACGCCAUUGAAAGUUAAAAGAUUUUAAGUUUUUUUACAAUCAAAAUGUGAUGAAUGUGAUCAAUCUUAGAAACCACCAACAGAUUAGAGUCUCAACCAAGGAAAGCAACAAAACUUCAGAGAGAUCAAUCAGAUCAAAGGAGACACAGGGAAUGUCAACUAAUGAGUAAUGACUCAAUAAAAAUCACGAUUACACAUAAUAAGGUUAAGUAAAUUCGAGAAAAUACAAUAUUUCUUCAAACUGAGAUCUAAGUGUUCAUCAGAUGAUCUUGAUCACCAUGAGCUACUGUAUAAUCUUGAGUGCAUAAAAUCAUGAGGAGUUUUACAAAGAAGCCCUAACAGAUCUCUAUUGGCAGUAUGCCCACCUCCACUCACAGAACACAUCGUCCAUACACAUAUGUAGAGGAGGUGGACAGAAUGCCAAAGAUAUCUAUAAGAAACUCUUUUGUCAAACCGGCAUGAUCAAAACUUUCUUCUCUUUCCUUUCCGUCGUAUGUAAUCAGGAGAGGUACACAAUAAGGAGGAACGGGUUUUAUUUUGACUAAAAGGAAAAAGAGUUUUCAUACAAAAGAAAGGCGAGAACCUUUUUUCAACAAAAAGGAGAAAGGCGAAAACCUACAAAGAGAACAAUAGAUGAGAGAAGCGAAAGAUGGGGAAGGGUGAGAAUAUUUAUUAGGUUGCGAAAGAGGCAGAUGGGGUUCUCUUAAUGAUGGUGAUGUACAGUUGUUGUUGUAGCAGGAAAUUUAUGAACCAAGUAUUUUUUUUUUUCCAAACGAAACCCUAGAAUCUAGAUUAUGUUUAAAUCAAAUGAAAGAGUGAUCUAUUUAAAUAUUCGGAUUCAAACAGAUAUAAGAGCAAUUCCAAUGGGAGUCUUUAGGAGAGUGUCUCAAUGUUUAAGAAAAUAAAAGUUAAAAGAAAAAUAUGGGAGAGAGUGAGAUAGUAUAGAACCUCUUUAGAAAAAUAUGUGUUGCCUUUAAAAAUCAUCUAAUUUUUCUAUAAGAAUUUAAUUUUCUAAUAUGUGGUAUUAGAAUAUUAUUGUUUGGGAAGUGAGAACUCCAAAUUGAAAAACUCAUUGAUAAAGUUGCUCUAAGAUCUAACAACUACGAACAUAAAAACAGUGAAGGAGUGAUUGGAUUUUUUAUUUGAGGUUUUUAGUUUACUUUUCUCGUGGUGGUUUCUUUUGCAAAUGUCAAAAGAAAUUCAACGAGGUUCUCUUACCGUUCGGUUUCCUUUUCAUACCCAUUUCUGAGUUCUGACCACAAAUUAAACGGCUCCAUCUCUAAUUGACUACUGUUAAGAAUAUUAAUUUCUAAUGAUAUUGAACUGAAUAGAGUGAAAAAGUUAUUAAUUUUAUUGACAAACUGCGACAAACAUAUUCUUUGAAGUUUGAACUUUGUUAUGAAACUUCAGAAUCGUGAUACAUAAUUAGUUAUUGGUUAACAGCUAUACAAUGUAGACGUUACCUUAAACUAUCAAAUCAAAAAAUUUAAUCGGUAACGUAAAAUACUUAAAAUAUAAACUGGUUAUAGCUAAAUAUUUAUCUUUUUUUUGUCACGAUCUAAAUGUUUAUCUAACUAGUCUUUAAAAUACUAAAAUGUUACAAUCAUAAAUUUAAGUCACGACUUUUUUAAGCUGUGUUGUACGUAGAUUGAUAAUGUGUCAAUGAGAGUAAACGUUUAGUGUCUCGAACUCAUUGAGUCCCGAUAUUUUAUAUGGUAGUUGCAAUGUUGCAUGAUCCAUAACAACCAUUGAUUAUACUAUAUUCCCAGGGCUAUAUUCACACGUUGGCUGGUGGAAGUUUUUUUUAUUCGAUACAUGGCCCGACGUACAAGUUUGGUAUUUUUCUCCUUAACGCCAAACUUUAAGAUGUCUUGAACACAUUACGACACGUCCAAAUUAAUUUGAAGCUAUUAAUACCAUCUCGAAUAUAUUCAUCUAUUUUUACCAUGAAAAUAGAAAAAAAUAUUUAAUAGAGAUGAGUUUUGCUCAAAUAUAUUUCUUAAAACAGAGCUGUAUAAAUAUAAAGUAAAAUAUAGAAAAAUGCUAUAUUUCUUAUCUAUAAAUAGAAGAAAAAAAUAACAAUUCUUAUGUUAGAAGCAUAAAUAGAAAUUGAUUGGAAAUGCUCUAAGAAUUAAUAGAGAGAUAAAGGGAGUCUGUUUGCUUGAGAUUUUCAAAAUAUUUUGAAAUCUAUACAGAUUGUAUCGUUUAAAAAAAAUAUAUGUAGAAAAAAUAUAACCAAAGAAACACGAAAAGAAAAACUUUUUUUUUGGUCUUUAAUUUGCACAUUUGUUUUGUUUUUGCCUCGAGAAAUAUUUGUUUUAUAAGUACUAUAGUAGUAUAUUGUUGAGAAUCAUGUAAAAUUUCCAAUGUCUGACUUCUGUUCAUGUGCGGCAACUUCCAACUGAUGGGUCCAUCCUCCACCUAGGAGAGGAUUGCAGAAUCCAAGGCUAUGUAAAUGACUAAAUGUAACACCAAAAUUUAGAAUAAAAUAUAAGUUCUGCCUUUUUGACCUAGCAAUUAACCAUGAUACGCUAUAAAUUCCACGAAGUAUUUCUCUUUAAGAAUAAGGUCUGUCCCUAUUGUUUUAGCAAAAUGCAAUUAAAUUGACAUCGUUUAUAUAAUCAUAUUUCCCUUCUGUCUAUUGAUAUGUCGCACUCAUCACUCCCACAACCUGCAAAGUCUCAUUUAUUCCUUGUCACAAUUUUUCUUAAAAUCUUUCUUUCUUUCUUAUUUUAUUCACUGGUAUUUUCUUUAUAAACGGAACAAACUCCAAUAAAAAUGGACUUUUAUUAUUAGUAGUGUGGAUGAGAAACCAAAUGCAUGCCUUGCGUCAUUAACUGCAACACCUCAUAAUUCUUCCCACUAUUUAUUGCCUCAAAAUCUACCACUUCCAUCCAACUUUCUACACAUUAAAUUCUCACAUUUUACUAAUUUUAAAUCCCCAUCUUUAUAUCAAACACUAUACCAUAAUGAUUCGGUUACUUCGACUGUAUUCACUUCUUUGAACUAUGCAAAUAAGUCUUAUACAUAUGCUUUUACCAAAACAAAACAAAAGCCAUAUCAUACUUAUGUCCAUGUCUAAUUUUACUAUUUCAGUUUUCGCAAAAAUAAAGUUCAGAGAUAAAAUUUUGCUUUACACUGAUAGAAAAUUUCUGUGUUCUGUAAAUUUUGUUUUGUUUGAUAAUACUAAAUUGUAUUUUAAAAAUAAUAAUUAAUAUCUGAAUUAUUACUGAUGAAAUUUUAUUUUUUCUAUAAAUUAAUAUAUAUGAUAUAAAUUUUAUUUAUUUUUAUUAAUAUGUGUAUACAUUUAGAAAUUAUUUUUAUAGAACAAAUCCUCUACAUAUUAAUUGAGAAGUCAUUUUAUUGAUUUCUGCUGAUGUGUCGCUUAUAGGUGAAGUUUCAAGAAAUUGUUAUAAUUUGAUUGGUUGAUGACUUUUAUUAAAUAUUUAUUUUAAUCAAAUCUAAAAAGAAAAUGAAGCUCUACAACCAAUUAAUACAAGUUACCAAAAAAAAACUAAGUAAUAUUACAUAUAAUAAUUUAUGGUAACUAAUUACAUAAUUAUAGAAAGAAUAUAUAAUGUUUUAUCAAUUUUUUUUAUAAAUUAUUUAUUUUUAGUUAUUUAAAAUAUUUUUAUAUACUUUUAUAGAAAUAAAUAUAAUGGUUGUAUAUUCUAUAUACAUAAUCAGAUUUGCAUAUAAGGCAUUAUUAGAAAUUUAAUGUUUUUUUUUAAAACCCCCACGAGAUUUAUAAAUCAUUUAUAAAGAUUUUGAAAUUAUUUAAAACAUUUUUUCGUUCUGGCAUACAAAAUCAUUUUAUUAGAGUUUCUAAAUUAUUUAUGAGACUUUUAUCAAAUCUAUUUAUAUAAAUCUUGAGGACAUCUUCUAUCGAUGCAAACCCCUAUAUAUUAAUUGAGAAGUCACUUUAUUGACUUCUGCUGACUUAUCGCUUAUAGGUGAAGUUUCAACAAAUUAUUAUAAUUUGAUUGGUUGAUGACUUUUAUUAAAUAUUUAUUUUAAUCAAAUCUAAAAAUAAAUGGAAACUCUACAACCAAUUAAUACAAGUUACCAAAAAAAACUAAGUAAUAUUACAAAUGAUAAUUUAUGGUAACUAAUUGCAUAAUUAUAGAAAGAAUAUAUGAUGUUUCAUCAAUUUUCUUUUUAUAAAUUAUUUAUUUAUAAUUAUUUAAAAUAUUUUUAUAUAUUUUUAUAGAAAUAAAAAUAAUGGUUGUAUAUUCUAUAUACAGAAGUAGAUUUGUAUAUAAGGCAUUAUUCGAAAUUUCUCCAAUUACUUUUACUCUAAUACCUGCCUCUCAUAAAUAUAAAUGAUAUUCCCUCUGUUCCUUAAAGAUCCAUUUUUUAAAAAAAAAAUUGUUUCAAGAAGAUACAUUUUUUACAUUUUCAAUAUAUUAUUAAUUAAUGAAAAAUUGUACUUUUCAAAAAAUACAAUUGUGUUUAAUAAAUUCUCAUUGGUUAAAAGUUAUUGGGAAUAGUUAAUUAAGAAAAACAAUGUAUUGGGAAAUAUAAUUUUAAAUGUUUUUUUAAUAAGUGUGAAAAAAAUAUAACAUGGAUCUUUUAGGAACGGAGGGAGUAUAAUAUUUAUUGAUUUUAAGAUAUAAGUUUUGUGUUUCAGUUACCUAUUUUAUCUGUAAUAAUUAAAGAUGACAACUACAUAAAAUAAUAGUUUUUGAAACUAAAAUAUGAUAAAAAAAAUUAGUAUGAUAUUUUUUUUAAAUGUAAAAAUCUAAAAAAUUCAAAUCUUUGUAAAACUGAGAAAAAAAAAUUUAGUAGAGGCAAACACGUAAAAUAUGUGGAAAACGUUGACCAUUUGGUAGGUAUCGGACCAAACCAGCUAAUGGGGGAUGUGCUAUACUACGGCGACAACCACUCGGCAGUGGUGCAGUUGCACGGCAGAGCUGACAUGGAGAAGCCGAUCGACGAGAAUCUCAGUGGAGGCAAGCUGAUUGUGCUCGACGUCGGUCUGAAACAUUGUGGCCCCUGCGUCAAGGUUUAUCCGACAGUGCUGAAGCUGUCCCGGUCAAUGUCGGAGACCAUCGUGUUCGCUAGAAUGAACGGAGACAAGAAUGAUAGCUGUAUGGCAUGGAUCAAGGACAUGAAUGUUAUGGAAGUACCCACUUUCUUGUUCAUUACAAACGGUGAUAUUUGUGGCCGGUAUGUUGGUUCUAGUAAAGGAGAACUCAUUGGAGAGAUUCUCCUGUAUACAGGCGUUCGUGUCACUUAUACUAAAUUGUCAACUUGAUUUACUAAAAGGAAAAUGAUUUAUGGUUUUGUUUGUACCAUCCGAGACAUGUUUAUAUUGAAAACAACAAAAUAUUGUGAUUCUUGGUUUGAUUUGGCUUUGUACUUUUAACUUUGAAGGCACGGAAUUUGAGUAUUUCGGUACGAGAAUGAGAUGUAAAUUGAUUUGUUACCUACCCAAUGAAGAUAUUGUGUAAUUCUAUAAAUAAAUAUGAGCACUAAUAUCAUUUUAUAUGUGAUACGAAGCAUAUGUUAUUUAAUGGUUGGAUUGUGAAUUACAUUUAUAAUAUGGACAGUUAGUUGGUUCUUGUCAUACACGAUGUCACCAUGAGUAAAACAACAUUACUAUGUAACUGUAAGAAUGUAAUUGAUCCACAGUUUUUCCUAAGUGCCACCAACCAUUCGCAACACUGGGAGCAAACACUCACAUGGUCUUUCAAAAAAAAAAAAA